AUACGGAGGAUCCGAGCGUUAUCCGGAUUUAUUGGGUUUAAAGGGAGCGUAGGUGGGAUAUUAAGUCAGCUGUGAAAGUUUGGGGCUCAACCUUAAAAUUGCAGUUGAUACUGGUUUCCUUGAGUACGGUACAGGUGGGCGGAAUUCGUGGUGUAGCGGUGAAAUGCUUAGAUAUCACGAAGAACUCCGAUCGCGAAGGCAGCUCACCGGGCCGGAACUGACACUGAUGCUCGAAAGUGCGGGUAUCAAACAGGAUUAGAUACCCUGGUAGUCCGCACAGUAAACGAUGAAUACUCGCUGUUUGCGAUACACGGUAAGCGGCCAAGCGAAAGCGUUAAGUAUUCCACCUGGGGAGUACGCCGGCAACGGUGAAACUCAAAGGAAUUGGCGGGG
rnacentral:rRNA from 1 species